UACAAGCAGUAAUUUCCCCUUGCCAGUGCUGGGAAGGGGCAAUAAGCAGGACGAGGGUUGUGGGACCUUGCCUGUUAUUGCGGGUUUCUCAGGAAUGAUUUCCAGCACUAUAGAUCCCAAUUGCUUUACAUAAUAAUGCAAAUUUCAGGCGCCUCUUCCCCAUAUGCAGCUUUGGUUUGAGUUUUCUUUGCUUGUGAGUCACUUGUGGCUCACAGCAUGUGCAUCACCAAGGAAUAUUUGUUGCAUAAUGAAACUGCAAACAGAUAGAUCCUUAAGAUACCUACUAGCUCCUUCUACGAUAUUUUGUUACAAACUAUGGAACAAAUUGUGUGAGUUCUAGUCAAAAUUUGAAUUAAGUUACAACGGACUAAGCUGUUAUUAAGUUUAUGCUAUAUUGUACACAUGACAUAGGACAGAGAGCUGAAACCUGUGACUUUUUUUUUUUUAAAUUAAGUGUGAUUAUAGUAGCUAUAGUAUCGUGGCUUUGCUGCGAAAGCAAAGCCUUGUCCAGUCAAUCCAGCUGGUUCUGCCUUUCCCAGACACCAUGCAAAGCCCCAGGGAACUGAGCUGCUUGAGAGGUGCCCUCUUGCUCGCUUAAGAGAGGAAGGAGUCAUAAAAUUAGUGACGAAAAAGGCAAAAUCGGGCUCUCCAACCUGUCCUGUGUUAUCUGGUAGCCUUGGCUCCUGCGGAGAUCCUUGCAAGCAGCCCUGGAUGUGCACCCUUGGGUGCGUGGCUUGGUGUAGGAGAGACCUUCAGGAAAUGGAAAUGCACUUGGGUUUAGCUCUGUAACUUUUACUGCUGCCAGUGUCUGUCUGUGCAGCUGAAGGACUGAAAGGUCUCAGCUCCAGGAAGGCAAAAAGUGAUGCGGUCAGGUCUUCUCCUCGGGGACAACCUCAUCCCCACAUGAAAUGCCAUCAAGGGACCUGAGUGUUGCUCUGGUCUGGCUUUAAAGAGCCUUGCAGCCUCAAAUAACACCACUGCUCAUGUCUCAUCCAUAACAAUAAAAACUUCAUAUGUUUUUUCAGGGUUUUAUUUUUAAAUUUAAACUAUAUCUUCCCCUAUCCAUAUGCCUCUCCAUUUAGCAACUGCCCUGUGAACAGGGGAGAGCGAGCAAACAAGGAGCUAUUCUAAGAAAAAUUAAGGUAACCACAUCUGAAAAAGAAAGAGCAUAACCCUCACAAAGAGCAGAAGAUGAAAAUAAAUGCUUUGAGAUCAAUUAAGCUAACUACUGUUUUUUUCCUUUUCUUUUUUUUUUUUUUUCUUUUCUUUUAAAAUUUAUUAUUACUCCUGGUUGGAGCUAAUGAAGCAUAAUGAAACUGCAAACAGAUAGAUGUUUGAGAUACCUACUAGCUCCUUCUACGAUAUUUUGUUACAAACUAUGGAAAGAACUGUAUGAAUUCUGGUCAAAAUUUGAAUUAAGCUAUAAGAGCAAAGCUAUCGUGAAUUUUACACUCUAUUGUAUAUAUGACUUAUAGGAUAGAGAGCUGAAACAUUAAUUAAAUGUGAUUAUAGUAGCAUACAACUCUCUGUGGAGCAUCCAUAUGUUUCUGCUCAUAUUUUUAAUGGUGGCAGAAAGAAGUUAAUAAAAUUGUUACUGAGGAAGGUAAAUGAUUCUGUAAAGAUCUUUCAUAUGGGAGUGUUACUGGUAUAUCCCUGGAGCCACGGUUACAAAAGUAUUUAGGAGUUUGUCUUGAGAAUGACCCAAACCACUAAAGAGCAGUUAUUGUCUGCUGAAUAUAUGUAGAGCUUCUCUUCAGCCACAGUAGGAUAUAUGCAAAUAAAACAAAAUUUUUGGCCUUAACUAACUUUACACUGUGCUGACAACACCGGGACUUUGGUGGAAUUACAGCCCUGUGGAAAUUGGUGGUAAAGCUGUCGGCUUCACCAGGGUCACCCCCUUCACCCCUUGUCCCCUUUGCUGCCCAGGACGGGACCUGCGCUUGGGCAGCGAGUGCGUGUGGCCCUUGCAAGUGGAGAAGGGUCUUUUUGAUUCUGUUGGAUGAUAUUUGGGAGGUAUGUACGUCUUAACAGUAUUGAAAGGACAUUCAUAUUUAUUCACCUUAGAAUCUUGGCUUCAAAGGAAGAACUUGCCAUUUGUUUUCUCUUCAGUGACGCACUUUACAAAAAGAAAGGGACCAUAUUCAGGAAAGUUGCUUUUGGGGGUAUUGCCAAUUACGAUAUUUAGAAAGCUCAGGCCUGAUUAAGAGGCAGUGAAUGGAGGUCAGUUUGUCUACAGGUGCAAUUCUCGGUGCUGUGGGUGACGGGGCAUGGAUAGGGAAAUCAUGCUCAGUAUUAAUCUUCAAUUGCAGCUUCUUUCUUGUGAGGUCCAAAUCUACCUACAGGUUGCCUUAAAUAGCUCCUAAUCAGCUAAAAUCCAAUACCUACCCAUUGCACCAUUCCUCACCGAAAGCCAAAUGCCAAUAGGGGUUGGUGGGGCUCCCUGGACCCGGCCAGAGAGGUUCCCUUAGUCUGCUCGCACGGCAGAGGAUGCUUAAAGCCAACAUGUAAUUAACUGAUUGGUAUUAGACCAGGAUGCUGUGGUCAACUCUUGUGAGAGGUCAUGAGGUCUCCACUGACCACAGGAACUUGGUUUUGCAUCUCAUGGCAGGUAUGGCAAACCCUCAGUGGAUGUCUCUGUAUAAUGUAUCAGGCUUUGAUCUCUGUAGCAAUCCUUUACGCCCAGCAUAAUAAACCAUGUUUAGUGCAUGGGGAAAAAUCCACUUACCUUUUCUGCUGACUUUGUCCAAAAGAUGAAUUGGACACCUACUCUGAUAAUUGCUUUCAAGUUUCUUAUUCUUCUCACUAACCUGUUUUGAAUUCAUCUAUAGAGAAAUGAUGACUUAAAUUUCGCCUUUGCUCCCCAUGAGAAAAGCAAAGCAAAGGGGGUAUACUAUUUUACACAGGUGUUCUGUAGUAUCUGUUUUUAUAUCUUUUGUGAAAGGAAGUUUGGGGCUUUGGCUUGGUUUCAGUUGACAUUACCGCAGAGCUGUGGUACAUCUCCUGGAGAGCUGGAGCACAAAGGGCUUGGUUAGGACUUGUACAAAGGGUUAAUGGACCUAAACCCAUUAAAUACAAGUUCUGACAGCGUGGGUCAAACUUGUAUGUGUCAGUCUUUGGAUUCUUCCUUUCUCAUUCUCCUAAUUGGGCUUAUUUUCUCUUUAAAAAUAAUUGGCAGAAUUUUAUGAUGUGAAAACAAAAAUAAGACAGCUGCUGAGAUCUGUGAAGGCAAAACAUUUUCAUGUGAUUUGGAGUUCAUGUAACCUUUCUGUCAAAAGAUGUACUAAGAGAUGCAUUUUGUCAUGACCUGCUUUUGGCUGGUUGUUGGUGACUGGGUGACAGAAAUAUGGCUUUUCGGUUUGGUUCAUGUAAAACAACAUGUGUAGUGAUGCCCUGUGGAUCAGUCAGGACCAAUCAAAAAAAAAAAAUGAAGGGGAGAAAAACUUAAUCCGCUUUUCCCAUUGAUCUCUGAAAACUCAAAAAAACAAGGGAAAUCAGUCGGAACUUCUUCAUUGUCAUAUUUUAAAGAACUUUACAGCUGCAGCACUUGUGACAGGAAAAAUGACUCCACUGUCCCUCAGCGCUUGGAGAUAGGAUUUUCAUGCCAACCAAAUCCUUGCUCAUCAAUUAAGCUGCAAUCCAGCUUUUUGACAAAUGUUUGUUUAAAAAUAACCUGCAUGGACUUGAUCUCCUUUAAAGAAGACUUCCCAGUAAUUUGCUGGGAAAUCAAAAAAGGGAGGAGAGAGGAAAGAAAGGGGGCUGCUUGGGUGGCAGCAAUCCUGUAUGGGAUCAUCACCUGGGCUGCUGCAAGACUGGGCACAGAUCGUGGUGCUGGGCCCUGUUUUGGGGCAGGGAUUGGGCAUGUCUGUGCUGGACAUCCUAAAGCAUGUCUGAAAGUGGGCAGGUGUCUUUUCCAGUUGCUCUUGCUCCAAGGAAGGAGCAAGGUGUGCUGCAGCCACGUGUGGUCCAACAGAUGGUCCAGUGUCCCCUAUGGGGUGGUGCCAUGGCCAGGAGAUGCGUGUCCCUGGUCACAGACCCACUGCCUGCUCUGCUCUGUCUCUGGGAAGAGGUAAAGGCAGAAACCCAGCUCAGGUCCUAACAGUUUUCUGCAAGAUAUCCAUUAUUUUGCGCUGUCCACUCAUCGGUUCUGUGAAUGAUGUGUUUCUGUGUGCUUCUAAGCAACUGAUGGGUGUCUUUGGACUAUAAAUCCACAUUAUUUCCCACUGGAUUAAUAUGUUGCAUGACAUAGUUCUGCUCCCUCUUUAGGAACAGGUAUUCCUAGGUUUCAGUGUCUGUUAUAAAGUUCAGCAUGAUGAGCUGAAAAUGUGGAUUUUGGUCUUAUUCAGAAAUAUAGGACUACAAUUUACUGUCUCGGUGACUAUUCCCAGUGGUGUAUUUAUAGAUUUAGGCUUGACAUUUCAUGGAGACUUAAUGGAGUAUGCUCCCCACAAUGGAAAUAUUUUCCUUAUGCAUUCCUCCUAGAAUGAGUCCAAGGGAUAAGGCUGAGUAAUUCCUUGAGGGUCCUCUAAAAACUCCAGCCAAAAUAUUCGGGAGAAGAGGGAAAACAGUCCCCAGUUAUUCCAUGGGCUGGUCCGGGUGAUGUGUUGGAUAUGCCUAAGCUAUUGGUGGUAUUUUUUCAGAGUGAAAUUUGCUGCUUUGCCCAAGUCCCAAGCAAUAUCCUUUUCUUUUUGCAGUUUAAGGGGGAUUUAAGUGAAAUGCAGACCUUGUGCUGACACUGUCUGACAGUGUAUUCCACUCAAGUGAGCAGAGGGAAUUGCAGGAGAGCCCUUUAAGCUGAAGAUUUAUAUCAUGUAUAUAUCAGCCACUCCUGAUGUACAGUUCAAACCCCUGAGAGUCCCUCUGACAUCCAAGUAUUGGAGGGAAUUGUAAAAUUUAAUGUGACUACAAAGUUUCUGCUGGCUUAAUAACCAUCACAUGAAUAAGUAUCAUUCAGUCUUGUAGAAUUCUAUAGGAUGUGCCAUUUAAGACUAUGAACAAGAGCCUUUGUUUUUGCAGCACUUUAUGUAAAGCCUUGUAAUGUUUUUAUAGCUCUGCAUUGCUUUCAUCCCCAUUGCAUGAGGUUUUCUUACAAGCAGUGUUUUGGCAGAGAGGAGCUGAACGGCUGGUAUAUGAGUUUAUGGAGUUAUUGCUGCUGUUCAUCUGCUGUUGCACAGAGCAAUGAAUUCCUACCCAAGAAAGAGGAGAAUAUUUCGUCUAGAUCCAAAUACAAACUGCAGUAGCUGUGGUGAUGUCUUGGCACUGCUCAUGCCCUGCAUGGAGAUGUCAACUGCCAGAUUUGGUUUUAUCAUAUGGGGAAACAAACUCUCUAAUGAAUGAAACCAGAUGCACAAAAUUGUGCUGAAAGACCUACAGUCACUUUGUAAAGAACUCCAGCCAGAAACCUUGGAAAAGGCACACAAAAACAUUCAUAGAAUUUAUUCUUGGCAAUUAAAGGUAAAUAUGCAUUAUGCAGAUAUUUGCUUUUAGCUGCACUAUACCCAUUCUCUGCAUUUCUGCACAAUCCCUGUAGUGCAGGACUCCAGCACGGUCUGUCUGUUCCUCAUCAUUCUGUUUCUCACCAUGGGAUGCUGGCCAGGAAUAGGGCUGGGGGUGGUUCCCUGGGGGUUUUCUUCAUAGAACAGAAAGAUCCAGAAACACAGCAGUUGUAAGAAGGGCAGAUCUUCUGACAGUAGGUAAAGCAAAUGCGAGUUAAUCCUUUAAAUGAACCAGGCUGGUGGAAAAGCUUGAACAAGCAGCUGGUUUCAGUUUGGACAAUUCCCCUUGACCAGAGUGGUUUCUCCAGCAGGACCCACAUGGAUUAGUCAGUACAGACUGCCAGUCAUCCCCCACGCAAUUAGCAUGUGUUGCAACAUGUUAUUCUAUGAAACAAGCUAGUCAAAACUCCCUGAGAGCUACUGAAAUGCUGCUAAACUGAAAAAUAAAAUGCCUUGUGAAAAAUGGAUUGAAUCCGAAGAUAUCUUGCAACUUUACAGCCCAAAUCGCUUUAAACUUCUUUGAUAUUAAUUUUAUUAAUACCAUUCAAAUGAGAACCCCAUUGUAACCUGGGUGAGAGACUGUUUGGUUGGUGAUUUUUGUUUGGUUCGUUGUUUUUUUUUAAAUUCUCCAAAUCGAAUUAUUAACUCUUCCCCAGGAGCCUUAUUUUCACCUUAGUAUAGCCAGCAGCUGCUGUUAGAAUAUGCUGCAGUGGCAGACUUGACUGUCAGCCAAGGCGUGGUGUCACCAGCCUGGGUUGGCAAAUAGGCAGCAAUAACAUCUGGGAUGGAGGUAGGAUGGGUGAAGGCGGCUGAUGCCAUUCCCAUGACACGUGGGGACCAGCAGAAUAAAUGGGAGAGCCAGAAUUCUCCAGGUGAAUCUGAAAUGUAAUUAAAUAAUUUGUGUUUGCUUUAAUAUAGGGAUGUCUGAUAUUAUCUGUCUGCAGCAUUAGUCUGUGCUGCUGCCUUUGAAGCUAAUAAUUGGCAUUAGGGUGGUGUGUUAGCUGCAUGAUUUUGGAAUGAAUAUUAGUUAUACAGACAAAUGGGCAUUUUCAUGGUAUUACCCACUACCACAUGAUGUUACAUAUUCCUCACUAGUGGUUAUGUUCAGGUUUGGGCAUCACUGGGGUUUGGGGUUUUUUCCUUAGCUAAUUAAGAAUUGUGAGAAGGGCAAAAAAUAUUUGGGGUGUUGGAGAAGAAAGGUUAAACCAGCAAAAUAUAGCAAGCUUAGCCAAACGAGGCUUAAGGUGGUCAUGGCUUGUGAUGCUGGAGGGGUUUAGCACUGAGGAUGCCACCAUUCAUUAGUGCACCGUGUGGAGCAGCAGUUAAGGGUGGAGACAAGCAAAAUGCAGAUGAAAUAGCAGGACGUACCCUCAGAAAUGAAGUAUUUAAAGCCCAGGUUAGUCCCUCAAAAACUACAUUGCUAUAAAUCUUGGGGAGGUUUGCUAGAGAGCAAUCCCAGCGAAGGGCAGGCUGGAGGAGCCCAGGAGCUCUUCACAGGCUUUGGUUCUUUGGUUUUGGGUGUAACAUUGCAAUGGGCUUACAUUAGGUAUGAGUUGGAUCUGGUUUGUGCAAUGGCCUGAGUUUUUUUGGAUUACAAGUUCUUAGAUGAUGGCCACAAAGGAAUUUUAAUUAGGAAAGUAAGAAAGAUUCUGCUGGGAGACGGGCAAACCACGGUAAUUAUUGGCAGUGAGAAAGUUAGCAAAGAGCAAGUAGUCAGGGCAUUUAUAGAGGUCUUAUUGAGAAUUACAUUAAUGUAAUUUUUAAGGAUACCAGCGAAAGAAUCUUUCAUAAGGAAAAUUACUCAAAAUGACAGUAGUGUCCACUCCUAUGCUUUAUCCAGUGUUCAGCUGCCCUCACAAGCUUUAAUGAACACGUAGAUGAGGAUCAAGCUGGCUCUGUGGCCACUGAACAUGUAAUCACCACAAGUGUUGGGAUUCCUGGAAGAACCCACCAGGGGAUGCUGAUUCCAUGCUGGUGUCAGUGGAAGCUCCCAGGCCCCAGCAAGGCAAUUGAGAUGCCCAGAAGAGAGCUAAUCUGUCUUGCUGGGCAACAGAUCCAAAGUCCUCUCAAGAGUGGGGCAAACUGCACAGCUUAAAAGCAAUUCUGUAUUUCCAAAUGCAUCUGUCUUGAAGCCAAAUAUUUAAACAUCAAAAUAAAAUGACCCUUUACAUUUUUUCUUUAGGAAAUAGUGGAUAGCUUUUGCUCUCCUCUCCAAGAUCCUGAAUACCAAGUAGCCUGGGAAGGGGAUCAUCACCAUGCCAGCAUAACACAUCCCCUGCACUGUACUCUGAGUUUAAACUAACAUGACCCACCAUGAGAAUGCUCCUGGAGCAGCAAAGUGCUUGCUUGGCUAAAUCCAGCCUCCUACUUCUGUCAGCAAAACCAGAACUGCACAAAUUCUCCUCUGCCACUUCUGUGUAGGGGAGUCAGGUCCAAACGUGUCACUCUGUACUACUGGUAAAGCUUUAACUUUUCUUCAUAGGUGGUCAGUUGAUGGGAUGGGCAGAAUUGCCGUGUACACAGCUAAAGGCUGCUGUGACUACAGGAUGCGUUUACUGGUCAGGGAACGACACCCACUGCUUGACCUAGAAGACAUGCCUGGGCUGAGCAAUGCGCACGCCUACGGUCUUCUCAUGGGAAUAGUUCUUCCAUUGUACAUCAGGGCACUUCACGGCUUUUGUGGUAUCGCGUGUUUCCAUCUUGUUGAACCAUCUCAGUAGAAACACCUAAAAAGUUCAUACCCUUUUUGUUCCAGAUACCGUCCUCUGGCCCUGGCUAAGCUUGGAGUCAGUGGUUUCCAGUAGCAGGUUGCACUUCUCAGGUGUAUUCAGAAGAUCAAAUUGAUUUUCUUAGGCUCUGUGAAUUUGUUCUGUUCCCUGCUAAGGUUACUUCUCUGUACAUCAGCAAACUGGGCUGCUACCAAAGACAUAGGAUGUUUGUGUCUAUAAGAACAAAACCAGUAUUUACAACAGAUAUUUUCCUGAGAGGAUCCUGGCUCUAACAAGGGCACUGCUCUGGGCCAGACUGCCAAGGUAUUUAAGUGUUGGUCACCUUUGAAAGGCUGGUCUUUAACCUCUUGAUCUUGUAUUCAUAAUGAAAUGGGAGGGGUAACAGAAACGUGCACUUUCUGAUGUGGAUUUUACUAAUUAGUCUAAAUGUUUCUACAACAUGCGAUAUUUAAGGCCGUGCACACCAUUAAUGCAAACUGCUUACUUGUAACGGAGUAAACAGCAUCGGACAGACCACAGUGCCAACACCAGCAGACUCCUGACUUGGGAGACUGUAAAAGCUGUUCGCUGUGCCCAAUGCAUGUGGGAAGUCAGCAGUGGUGGGUGGUCACAACAGGCAGCAUCCCAGGCUGCUGCUGCUCGGAAGGGUGACAGGUACCCCUGUCUGUUACUGGGAGCUGCAGAGCCCUGUUCUUCCCCACUGUUGUGUACACGUCUGGGACCAAGGGGCGAAGAGGCUGCCCAGGAGGUGGUGGUGGCGCUGGCACUUUGUGCCAUUCUUGGGCACGAACCGUGGAGCUCCGGCUUCAUCCAGGGCAGAGAUCUGAUGAAAUGGGGUUCUUCUCCCAUUGAUGAAUGCUGCAAAGAUCAAAACUAAGUCCUUUUGUAGUGGUGACUGGUCUUUCGCUUAGCACCUCUUCCCACCUGAGUCAGUCACACACACUGAGAAAUUCACCCACUUGGCCCACCUUGGCUGGUGGGUGCUGCCUGUAGAAAUAAGGUAAAUGGCUUACCAGAAAUCACUCUAUGAGCUGGUAGCUCUUGUCAUUUAUUAUGAAGCACAUGGCACAUCAGAAAAGGGUAACAGGACAUACAUUUUGUUGAUGCAGAAAGCAGAUGAUACAGUGACUGGGUGCUGGCUGGGGAACAUGUGCUCAGUACCACAAACAGACCCAUCAGUGCCAGCCUCAGCAUGAAACUGGUGGAAGCUUUUCUUAUAACAGCUAUUGUCUGCAGUGGAUUUGGCAGCUCUCUGUUCAAGCCCACAUACCUUCAGCCAGGAGUAGUUUGACACAAGAUAUAGAUGCAGGGUGGCAAGAGAUGGGGGAAUGAAAGGAGCUCUUGUCAUCUUCCUGUUAGACACGUGUUUUGAGUCAGCUGGAGCAGCUGUAGCCUGAUACACAGCCACACUUCUGCAAAGACUGAAGUCGUGUCCAGCUCUGCUUAAACAUUCUUGAUCAAAUCAUAUAGAAACUGCUCAUUAGGUCCUACAGCCUGCAAAGACCAUUUAUUUAAGUUUCAGUUAAAAUCUUCUAUCUGAUUAAGGUAGUAUAAAAGGGCCUCAUCAAUUCAUGAGGUAGUUUAAAGGGAGAAUUUUCUGUAUAAAUAAGGUAUAUGGUAGAUGUCACAGACUGAAAACAUGAUUGAUCUGUAAGGAUCUUCCCCAUGUCAUUAGAGACUGUAUUACUGUUAAGCACAGAAAAACAGAUAACUCCUUUAAGUAGUUAAUUUGAAUAUACAGAAGCAAAAGGAAGAGUAGGAGGAAGAUGUAGGUCAAGUGCUUCAGGAAGAUGCCAGGCAAACAUUCAAAGAACUGCAAGAUUGGUUUUUACCAGUGUCAGAAGUAGCUGUGCGCACUUCAGCUGGUAGUGCAGAACUCAUUUUGCUCCUAUUAAAAAGAAAAAAAGGAGGCAAAUAAGUAACACUCGAUAGCGGUGCUGCUGCUGUGCAAUAUGGAGGCACUUUGGUGCAGCUUCUUGAUGUCCCUGUUUGGGACCCCUGUCUGGGAGGUGUCAGAGUUGUCACCUGCUGCCACCAGCCCUGUCCCCAGGAGCCGCCUCUGUCACAGCCCGGCUUGGCCAGUUGUCAUUCCUGCCAUAACAGCAUGAACAGCUGAGGCCAGCAAAGGGCUGGAAGGAGAAAUUGCUUUUGCUUCCUUUAUAGUGUGGUCAAGGAGUGGGAUUUUCUGAUAGAUUUCUCUGAUUUCAGAAGUGUUAAAGGAUGUUUGAGUUUGUAUGAGACUGGGGAAAUUUGAGCUCUGACCCCCGUGCUCUGAUCUGCUGGUUUAGGUCAAAAACCAGCACUACAAUGCUCGGCUGAGGUGGAAAACUGAAUUAUGAAGCAAAGCAGUAAGUUGCACGGAAUGUGAGCGGUUCAGGGCCAAACCUGCCCCGUCCGGCUGCAGUCAGGGGGUCCUGGGAGUGCCCGGGGUGCUUGGGCAGAGGGGACUCUGAAAUAAUUGUGCAGGAAAAUCGAAUUAUUGAAUUCUACAUCUGCACGUCUGAGGCUGCCCGUGCCGGGAAUGACUUGUAGGUAAUUAUCCGUGAUGGGUUUGUGUCCUGCCUGAGCUUAAUUCCACCUGAAGUUAUCAAAUAAUCCCUCAGCAUGCAGCAGAAAUGGCGAUUGACACCCGAGGGGCGGGUGGUUCUUCUGCAGCGCGAUAGUGAAAUUUAGAUAUCUAACCGCUUGCGAAGGAGACGCGUUUUGAGGGACUUCAGCGUUUCUGAGCAGCUCGGGAGAGCCGCCCGUCACCGCGCCCGCCGCCGCUAGGGGGCGCAGAGCGGGGGACGUGACGUGCCGCCGUCGCCUCCCUCCCGUGAGCCGUUGCCGCUGCCUCGGGCCUUGUCCCCACCGGGGCCGAGCCCGCCCCCUGCGCUGCCUGGGUCGGUGGGGACUCGGCCAUGGCGCCCCCGCUCCCUCGGGCGUCUUCGUCCCCCUCUCCCCGGCCGGCGGGCCCGUGGCGGCACCAGGAAACGGUCCGGGCCUAGGGGAGGAAGAACAGAAUUGACUGGCAAGAAAAUAAUGAUUUCAAGGCUAAUGUGAAGACAUGAGAGACAUCUGCACAAUGGGGCCUGUUUUGCACUUUGCUGGGAAGAAAAGGAUUCAUUCAGACUAAACAGACCCAGCAAGGCUAUGGACCAUAAACAAUGUCUACAAGUAAACAAAACCAAGGACCAUCUGAGACCAGUGGAAAAGAUCCAGUGAGAAGCAGGAAGACCCCAGACUCAAGUAUUGCUAUUGGACUCAAUCAUGGUCCGUAAAGAUAUAAAAAUCAAUGGUUUCCUGUGCUUGGUGGGACCUCUGUGCAGGUACCCACCUCAAGCCAGCCCUUAUGCUGUUCUACGCCAUUAAAUUAUUUAUUUCUAUCAA